CUCUUCCCAGCAGCUCCUGAACUAGCCCCACGUGGCCUUCCUUGGCAGCCAGGUGAAGCGCGUUGAGUCCAUUCUGAAAGGAGAAAGCAACAAGGCUCAGAAGUGCAGUGAUGAGGAGGCACACCGUUGCUGAUCUUAAGCAAGAUUAAUCCCAAACCAACGUCCACCUCUUGAGGCGCUGCUGGCUCUUCUAAGAGAGGUCUCAGAGCAGCCGUGGAACCCAGAGAAGGGGCCCAGGUUCCAAGCCAUUGGAAGCAGUGUUAGAGGCAGUCCAGGGAUGGCCCAGGCAGAAAAGGAGGCCCAUGUGGGCCUAGUGAUGGAGCUGCAAGGCCAUGAGCAUUCCUUGCUGCCCUCGCCUGGCUGUUGGAACCAGGGCCCACGACCAGGGCUCCUUGUAGACCCAGGAAUUGUGAGGCUGACCCACCAGCUGAUGUCUUUACUGUGGCGGCAUCCUGAGUACAGACCAACCAAAACAGGCUACUGUUGAUAACUCUUUGGUAUUGGCUUUAUGUAAGUUAAUUUUGAUAAAAGAAUAUGAACUUGAAAAACAGGAAUAAACAAAAAAAUAUGAACUCAAGUCUUUUGAAACAAUCAAAAAGUAUUCAUUGAGCUGGCUUACUGAGAGCAAAAUACUGAUUGGGCUUAUACACCUGUGAAUCCCAA